rnacentral:tRNA from 1 species
GGGCAUGUGGCGCAGUUGGUAGCGCGCUCCCUUUGCAUGGGAGAGGUCAUCGGUUCGACUCCGGUCAUGUCCA